CACCACGAUGCGUGGCCAGGCAGUUAGCGUACCUACUGCUACUGCCGCUGGAUCAUCUGUCAGUUCGUAGCCGGUGAGAAAGCAAAUUUGCGAAUCAUAACAAGUUAUCAAUUGGUUCAUUUACAUUAAAUUACAAAGCUAUUUUUUUUCAAGUAAAAACUGUUCAAUCAAUUCAAUUUAUUGGACUACAAGAGUUUAUCAGUAACGAAUAUUAUAAGGAUUAAAAGUGAAUAUUAUAUUAUUGGUUCAAGUAUUACAAAUAAGAUAAAUAAGGCAAAUCGUUUCGAGGUGCUCCUGAAGCGAAAAGUCUAACGUGACACUUUGGUGGCUAACCUGAAAAUAGAAAAAAAUAUUCAUGAGUAUUUAAAUAAGGAAAAAUUAAGUGGAACGAAAAGGCAGAAGGAAACGUGAGGCUUAAAAGGAUAUACGAUACGGUUGUUGUGUGCAAGAGGGAACAGUUAACUAAUUCUUUUUGAGCUGUCACAAAUUUAAAGGUGCUGCUACAAAAAAAUUAGUUCGUUAUCUGAACAUUCUCAAAAAGAAUUAACGAGAGUCGGACAACCUCAAAUCGCCAUGACUGAUCUCAAUAGCUC